CAAAUGAUUCUUGUGCACAGUCCGAGUUCCUUUCUUGUGAGGUAGAUACUUAAAUUUAGCUUAGCUGAACCUUUCCCCAAACGUUCUUGUUCACCUCCAUUGGUUAUAAACAAAGUCUAGGUGAUGAGAUUGGCGGCGCACAUCUGCACUACAAACACCUGAAGUUAGAUGGGAUGAAUCCCAUCAAAGAGGGAAGCGCACUAAUUAAAGUCACUGGCUAGGCAGCAAGGUAGGUAAAAUUCAACAGCAAACAUACAGAGCAGGCCAGACUACGUGGUGUAACGGUUUUCAUCUUGAAGCUCAUCUUAAACCAUGAAGUCAUCUCAUGAAUUAAAGUUCAACUUGCCAACAGAAAAAAGCAACAGCUGGUAGCCCAACUCAAAUACUUCAGUUAUUCUGGGGGUAAAUAUCGUGCAUUAUAAAGUUAUAGUUGUACAUAUAACUCACGGUAUGAAUGAAAACACCUUGGCUUCUUUCCCCAUCUUUCUGUCUGUGAUGCUGUUUUUACCUGUUACUGAAAACUGGGGGGUUCUCCAUGGCCCAUUCAGCAAGAUGAAGAGCAGCAUCCCACGUG